rnacentral:rRNA from 1 species
UAAGGAAUAUUGGUCAAUGGACGCAAGUCUGAACCAGCCAUGCCGCGUGAAGGAUGAAGGUCCUCUGGAUUGUAAACUUCUUUUAUCUGGGACGAAAACGGGCUUUUUAUCUCAAUUGACGGUACCAGAGGAAUAAGCACCGGCUAACUCCGUGCCAGCAGCCGCGGUAAUACGGAGGGUGCGAGCGUUAUCCGGAUUUACUGGGUUUACAGGGUGCGUAGGUGGGCUUAUAAGUCAGUGGUGAAAUCUCCGAGCUUAACUUGGAAACUGCCGUUGAUACUAUAGGUCUUGAAUUAUCUGGAGGUAAGCGGAAUAUGUCAUGUAGCGGUGAAAUGCUUAGAUAUGACAUAGAACACCAAUUGCGAAGGCAGCUUACUACAUAUAAAUUGACGCUGAGGCACGAAAGCGUGGGGAUCAAACA